rnacentral:lncRNA from 1 species
ACAGCACAGCACAGAACAGGCUGCUUAAAGCUUCACGGAGGUGGCUCUGCAGAGUUGGUCCAGUCCCGACUUUGUUUUCUUUUUCCUUUUUUGGUGCCUUUUUUUUUUUCCCUCAGUAUAUCUGCUACUGGGUGAGCUCUGAAUUCCCAUACAGGAAGACUGGUUUCCUCUAGUACUGUAACAGGCCGCGCUCCAGGGUGGCAGUAUCAGCGCUGGUGUGUAUUUCUCAGCUGUUUGAUAGGGUGCCAGCAUGCUCACAGGCAAGCACAGCAAACCAAGGAUUCAUGAGUUCUCAUGAACACGGGAUCUGUACAACAAAAUGUUGCUUUACUCUGGCUCAAAAAAGUCCUAAACAAAGCUUCCAACUGUUCUGUAAUGGAGACGUUGCCUGCUGUUGAAGUGGAAGGAGGAAGGCAGUUCCUGCAGUCUUUGAAUUCACUAGAACAGGAAAGAGGAGCUUCAUUCUCAAGCAAUUCACAGCACUGUUAUUAGCUGUUUGGUAUAAACACAGGAGAAGGAUUUAUAAAUCAGCGUUAGCAAUUUGUAUGAACAGUGGGAGUAUAGCUGUGACUUUUUAGCUCCCUGAAGACAGGGAGCCCUUCUCAACCUGAAGAUUUCUUAUUUGGAAGGUUUCCCGUAGAAAUGACAUGGUAUCCAGCCUUGUAUCCAAGCAACCUUGAACUUUAAGAAGUUAAAUUCAGAUACAAAUUCUGUAACUAACCCUUGUCCCUAUAACAGACCAACCCAAACACUAUAUUUAAUAUCCUGGGACUUGGGAAAUUGAUAACCAUAACAUUUGUAUCUGUUCAUGUUCCUGCUUACAACUUGGGCAUGAUUUUGUCUGCCUGGUUCCUCAAAAGUAACUCAGAGAUCCUAAGGCAUAUAUUAUUGUGAUCAUCUACUGUGACAUGAUCUAGCUGAGACCAAAAGGCCAAACUUGGCUCUGAGGACGCUAUCAUUGAGUCUGCUGUUGGCAGGCAAAAAUGGCAGUUCAGACAAUGAAUAUUGUCCCAACAGCGGAAUGCUUCUUUGUGCAUUUGUCACGGAUUGGUACAAAGCUGGCAGCUGCUGCUGACAGUAGAAAUAGGAAGAAGUGGACGGGUAGUCAUAACUGCUCUUUUGGGGGACAAGAACAGUAAAGCCUGUCUCUGGCUAAUUCCUAGACCUUCUGAGUCCCACAGCUGUUAGAUAGUUGUGAGAUGGGCAGCUACAGUGUGCCCAGCCAUCCCGGUUCUCAGAUUGCCCACACAGGAAUAUGGUGAGAGUUUGCUGAAGCUGUCUUCUAUUCUUCAGGGAGAGAAAGUGCAGUGGGCAAGUAUGAUGUGCACCCUGUUCUUUUCCCCAGUAUAGACAAAAUGGAGCAUUGCAAGAAUUCAUACCUGGAUACUAGGGUAUGCUCGCAAAUACCACAAAAUAGAGCCCUAUUCCAUUAGUUGUGCUUCAUUUUAGCUAUGGGCAGUCUAAACUUAUAGUUUAAUCUGUCUGAGAAGAG